rnacentral:rRNA from 1 species
UACGAAGGGGGCUAGCGUUGUUCGGAUUUACUGGGCGUAAAGCGCACGUAGGCGGAUCGUUAAGUCAGGGGUGAAAUCCUGGAGCUCAACUCCAGAACUGCCCUCGAUACUGGGAAGCUUGAGUUCGGGAGAGGUGAGUGGAACUGCGAGUGUAGAGGUGAAAUUCGUAGAUAUUCGCAAGAACACCAGUGGCGAAGGCGGCUCACUGGCCCGAUACUGACGCUGAGGUGCGAAAGCGUGGGGAGCAAACAGG